AUUGAACGCUGGCGGCAUGCUUUACACAUGCAAGUCGGACGGCAGCAUAAAAGAGCUUGCUCUUUUGAUGGCGAGUGGCGAACGGGUGAGUAAUGCAUCGGAACGUACCGAGUAGUGGGGGAUAACUGUCCGAAAGGAUGGCUAAUACCGCAUAUUCUCUGAGGAGGAAAGCAGGGGACCUUAGGGCCUUGCGCUAUUUGAGCGGCCGAUGUCUGAUUAGCUAGUUGGUGGGGUAAGAGCCCACCAAGGCGACGAUCAGUAGCGGGUCUGAGAGGAUGAGCCGCCACACUGGGAAUGAGACACGGCCCAGACUCCGACGGGAGGCAGCAGUGGGGAAUUUUGGACAAUGGGCGCAAGCCUGAUCCAGCCAUGCCGCGUGUAUGAAGAAGGCCUUCGGGUUGUAAAGUACUUUUGUCAGGGAAGAAAAGCCUGAGGAUAACACCCUCAGGUCAUGACGGUACCUGAAGAAUAAGCACCGGCUAACUACGUGCCAGCAGCCGCGGUAAGAC
rnacentral:rRNA from 1 species